UACGUAGGGUGCAAGCGUUAAUCGGAAUUACUGGGCGUAAAGCGUGCGCAGGCGGUUAUGUAAGACAGAUGUGAAAUGCCCGGGCUUAACCUGGGAACUGCAUUUGUGACUGCAUGGCUAGAGUUUGGCAGAGGGGGGUAGAAUUCCACGUGUAGCAGUGAAAUGCGUAGAGAUGCGGAGGAACACCGAUGGCGAAGGCAGCCCCCCUGGGCUAACACUGACGCUCAGGCACGAAAGCGUGGGGAGCAAACGA
rnacentral:rRNA from 1 species